rnacentral:ncRNA from 21 species
AUUAAGUCAACGACCAUGCGUGGACUUUAAAAAACAAAAUCAUGUACAGUAGUAGCCGUCUGCUAUGAGACUAGGCAUUAUAAUUGAAUAUCAUAGUGUUGAUAAAGAGAUAUGAUUAAUGAGUGAUUAGUCAUAUCUCU